rnacentral:rRNA from 1 species
GGGUUCAUACGUUGGUCGGGCUUUUUGGUCUGUACUAGCGUAAUGGAUUCCUACCUUCUGAAUAACCGGCAUGUCAUUAAUUUGGUGUCGUGGGGAAUCAGGACUGUUACUUUGAAAAAAUUAGAGUGUUUAAAGCAGGCUUACGCUUGAAUACAUUAGCAUGGAAUAAUGAAAUAGGACGUUUGAUUCUAUUUUGUUGGUUUCUAGGAUUGACGUA